UGGCGAUUCAAGUUGUUGCUUUUGUUGUUAGUCCCAGGGUGGAGUGUUGAUAAUCUUGAUUUUUAAGUAUUUUUUGUAAUUUAUUAGAUUAGCAGAUUCUUUAGGAAUUUGUGGGAGCUAUGUGAAGGGCAUUUAAUGCUCAGCGUGGACUUAAAUAUAAUUAACUUGAAAAGUUUAAAAACUUUGUUCCGCUCUGCAGGUUACCUCGUAACUUAACUUCUUGGCUUGGUUUUUCGACGGAAGGGAAAUUACGCCGGUAAAAGGGCUGAUAGUUUAUUAUAACUAAACGGUGUUAGCGAGUCGGCUAAAUUUUUUUUUGAUGUUGCAUUAGUUUUUAUUAUUUAACCUCUUUUUUAGCUUUUUAUAUUCGUUUUAAUAGUGAUUUUUGAAACGCAGAAAGUGAUGAUACUUUUACGCUAUGUGAGUUUGAGAGCUCUCCUUGUUUAAGUUAGGUUUAUCUUAUAUUCUUUGGUCUUCUAUAGCGGAAUCCCUUUUUGUUUAAAGUGGGAACCGGAACUA